AGACCUGAAGGCUGCUUCCGCUAACCCGGGCUGGCGCUGCUAACCUCACCCAACGAUCCCUGCUGUCGGAAAAUGUCCAGAGGCACCAUCCCUGCUAUGAAGAGGGAAUGCCAGUACAACAGCCACAAGGGGUCUUCCUGUGGCCCUCAAACAAAAAAUCACUGCAUUACAUCAGCAGACUGCAUUGGAGAGAAAGGCGCCGGGACAGAAAAGCCUGAGAUAAACCACCUGUCAUUCUUGGAGAAAAGGAUGCUGCGGCUUUCCCGAUUUGGUUGAUGAGAUGGAAAAUCAACCCUUACAGGAAGGACAUCACCAAUUCCGGAAAGGAUGCUGCGCCAGUCAUGUUUCCGCACUCUGUGAGACGUUGAAAUCUCCAGAAGUUGCCCAAGGUUUUCAAGCUGAACACAGGAGAAAUGACUCUGGAUCUCUGAGGACUGUUUUCCUCAAUAAGGAGCUGCAAUCUUGGCUCCACCACCCUCCCUCCAAAACAUCUCGUGUGUCUGGUAUCUGGUUAUAUUGUGGCCUGACAGAGAAGUUUCUUUCGGGGCCAGUGAAUUAAAAAAAAAAAAAAAAAGAAAAGCGGGUCCUACCAACUCAUUAAUACUUUAAUACUUUAAAUUUCCCUCUUUAUAGUAGGUUGAAAUGUCAGUAUCUCUUAAGAACAAUGGCUGAACCAAAUGUUUCCUCAAAACUCACAUUUUUUCCCACCAUUUCAGAAGCUGCCUCAGGACUAAGCUUUGAUUUUUUUUUUUUUUUUUAAUCUGGCCCAAAUUCCUAUCUAAGGGGCCUGGGGAGUCAUGCCCAACAAACCAUAAAUUCUCAUCAGAUGAGUUUUAUUUAACCCUAUAUAUGGUGACUUGCUUUCCAGUCUGACUCUGGCAUGACAUGUGACAAAGAAGAAAGUCAAAAUAUUUUACCCCAAAACAUGUUUCUUUGCCAUAUUUUGAAAUGGUCCUGCAAAGCUGUGCUUUGUGGGGGAAAAUAUGCAUCUGUAAAGAAUCUCUAUUAACACAGCUAGAUCUUUUUCUUCCAGGCCCUCCCAAUCCUGAAGAGACUGAGAGUCUAGCAUUGUUUUAAAGGUCUGAAUAGGAAACAUUUGUCAUCUAUCAUCUCUAAGGGUAGCCAUUAUAAGACUUCAAAAGAACCUUUUGAAGUAUUAUAAUCUUUUAUCUUAACCUGAACAUGUGCUUCCUAUUGAUCCCAGGUCUUCAGACAAUUGUGAACUCAACCAUUUGUCAAUUAGAAAAUGUUUAAAUUGGCUGGGCACAGUGUCUCAUGCCUCUAAUCCCAGCACUUUGGAAGACCAAGGCGGGCAGAUUGCCUGACCUCAGGAGUUCGAGACCAGCCUGGGCAACAUGGUGAAACCCCGUCUCUACUAAAAUACAAAAAUUUAGCCGGGCGUAGUGGCAUGCACCUGUAGUCCCAGCUACUUGGGAAGCUGAGGAAGGAGAAUUGCUUGAACCCGGCGGGCAGAGGUUGCAGUAAGCAGAGAUCGUGCCACUGCACUCCAGCUUGGGCAACAAAGUGAGACUCCAUCACAGAAAAAAAAAAGAAAAUGUUUACCUUUACCUAUAGCCUGGAAAUCCCUGCUUUGAGUUGCUCCAUCUUUCUGAACCAAACCAAUGUUAUUUCUUAAACGUAUUUCAUUGAUGUCUCAUGCCUCCCUAAAAUGUAUAAAACCAAGCUGUGCCCCGAACACCUUGGGCACAUGUUCUCAGGACCUCCUGAGGGCCGUGUCACGGGUCAUAAUCACUCAUAUUUGGCUCAGAAUAAAUCUCUUCAAACAUUUUACAGAGUUGACUCUUAGUCAACAUGUCCAUACCUGAUGAGAUGCUUCAUCAAAAUUCUAGUGGACUGGCUAGUUCAGAAAAUGGACCAGCCAGGUUUGCUUAAAUGCACCCCUGCACAACUAUCUCACUCCUGCUUGGAGCCGGCUAGAUCAGGAGACCUGUCCCUAAACUAAUGUACUCCAUGUCUUAAGUCUUUUUGUUUUGUUUUGUUUUUGUUUUUGACAGAGUCUCAGUCUGUCACCCAGGCUGGAGUGCAGUGGCGUGAUCUUGGCUCGCUGCAACCUCCGCCUCCCAGGUUCAAGAGAUUCUCCUGUCUCAGCCUCCCAAGUAGCUGGGACAACAGGUGUGCACCACCAUGCCCUGCUAAUUUUUGUGUUUUAAGUAGAGAUGGGGUCUCACCCUGUUGGCCAGGCUGGUCUCAAAUUCCUGACCUCAGGUGAUCCACCCACCUCGGCCUCCCAAAGUGCUG
rnacentral:lncRNA from 1 species